UUUCCUCAGUCAGCAUCAUCAAUCACAUACAAACAAGCAAAACGGUAAUUUAUGCCAAACAGACAGCAUACAGCAUCAAUAUCCCAGUCAUUCAAUCCAUAAUCAAUAAAACAGUAAAAUAUGCACACGAAACUAUAAAAUGAAAACAUCAAAUCUCAUACUGCAUUUAAAACUGUAAACAGGCCAAAUAACAGUUAACCGACAAACACACUAGACUCGAGCUCCAUUAGCGACCUUAAGCAAUUUCACACAUUCGUUGAUUCAUGAAAUACCGUUUUAUCAUUUAUUGAACUUUAAAACCGUGAUAGGAAAUAGGGUGAGGGGUCCUUACUCGUUUCGGGGUCUGAACACGGCUUCACAGUGCGCUUGCAGGCUGUCCCUAAUUUUCCCUGAAUUUUUCCCUGGGGAACUGAAACGCACUACUGGUACCUGUACGUGUUCCAAAAA
rnacentral:lncRNA from 1 species